UAGAUAGAUAGAUAGAUAGAUAGAUAGAUAGAUAGAUAGAUAGAUAGAUAGAUCAUACAUUAUACUGUCAAUAAGAGCAACAAACAACCUGAGAAAUGAGGCUAGUUUAGAUAGACUUUUCAACAAAAUUGUCCCGAUAUGUCAACUAUGUCUUCUGAGAAUAUCUGCGUUUUCUCUUGAUUUGAGGCACAUUGUGGAGAUUUCCGAAUGGUAUUGUGGGUUGAUUUAAUACAUUGGCUUCAGGUAAUGAUGCAGUCCACAAGUCUGAAAUGCCCAAACGGCACCAACAAAAGCACUCAAACCUCAUAGAAGUUUAAUGUUUCUACAACCAGCAUCUACUGCUAACUGUCUGUUCACCAGGGGCGACAAUAAGGAGGAACGAGGAGACUGGAGAGAUCUACAUUGCAAGGGUGAUCCAUGGAGGACUGGCCGACCGCAGUGGUCUUCUCCAUCCUGGUGAUCAGCUGGUGGAGGUGAACGGAAGUCCAGUGGUGGGAUUAGAACCAGAGCAGGUUAUCAAGAUACUGAUUAACUCUCAGGGUACAAUCCUGUUCAAAAUAAUUCCAGAUGCAGUUCAGUCCAGCAGCAGUCAGAGACCGGUGUUUAUGCGGGCCAUGGUGGACUACUGCCCCCUUCAGGACCCCUCCAUCCCCUGCC